AGAACGAACGCUGGCGGCAGGCCUCAAACAUGCAAGUCUAGGGGGUGUAGCAAUACAUCACCGGCGGACGGGUGCGUAACACGUGGGAAUAUACCUUUUGGUUCGGAACAACGCAGGGAAACUUGCGCUAAUACCGAAUGUGCCCUUACGGGGAAAGAUUUAUCGCCAAAGGAUUAGCCCGCGUAGGAUUAGCUAGUUGGUGAGGUAAUGGCUCACCAAGGCUCCGAUCCUUAGCUGUUCUGAGAGGAAGAUCAGCCACACUGGGACUGAGACACGGCCCAGACUCCUACGGGAGGCAGCAGUUGGGAAUCUUGGACAAUGGGGGAAACCCUGAUCCAGCCAUGCCGCGUGAGUGAUGAAGGCCUUCGGGUUGUAAACUCUUUCGACGGGACGAUAAUGACGGUACCCGUAGAAGAAGCUCCGGCUAACUACGUGCCAGCAGCCGC
rnacentral:rRNA from 1 species